UACCCCUAAUUCUACUGUCGGACACUUGUCCAUUUUUUUCUGCGAGGUUGUCGAGCACUUGCUCCUUUUUAUUUCCUCGAAAUAUUUUUAUUUUUGCAUAGCCCAUGCCUCUAAUGCAAUAAUACUUCGGAAGAGUGAAUCUUACUGAAAUAGUGUCUUGAUCUUGGGAGCAUGAUAAAUCUCUCAACAAGGGUCUAACUCAUUUUGAACAAACUCAAUACAGAGUAGAUAGCUUUAUAAUCAUCAUUAAUAUUUUUAUUUUUAUCAGGCAUAUAAAACACUGAGGAUGGUAGCUAGAAUUUUGAAUAUUUUGAAAUAAAUUCUCCAAGCAACAAUGAUAUCAAGAAUAAGAAACUCAUACUCUACCAUCACAUAUUCCAUAUUGACUUAAGUAACACAGGGUUUUAAAAUGAUUUUAUAAUAAUUGUAAGUUUUCAGGAAAUAUCACAGAUUGAGAUUAAUCAUGAUUAGAAAUAUUUUAAUCUUUUUAUUUUAUCAUGUCGGAAACAGUAAUCUGCAUAAUUCAAAAUAAAUGUAUGUAUGAAGUAAAGUGUGCAGAGUGUGUACCUGAAUCGUGG
rnacentral:lncRNA from 1 species